UACGUAGGGGGCUAGCGUUGUCCGGAUUUAUUGGGCGUAAAGAGCGUGUAGGCGGCCAGGUAGGUCUGCUGUGAAAACUCGAGGCUCAACCUCGAGACGUCGGCGGAAACCAUCUGGCUAGAGUCCGGAAGAGGAGAGUGGAAUUCCUGGUGUAGCGGUGAAAUGCGCAGAUAUCUGGAGGAAUACCGGUGGCGAAGGCGGCAUCCUGGACCGACAUUGACGCUGAUGAGCGAAAGCUAGGGGAGCAAACGGGG
rnacentral:rRNA from 1 species